UGCCAUCUAAAGUGAGGCCAUUGGGAAAGUGUUGGGAGCAAAACAGAAACAAAGGUGGUGUGUAAAAAAAGAAAAAAAGGGGGAGAGUGAGAAAGGGAGUGCAAUUAAAAUUGAUAAAAAGACUUGCAUGUGUUAAAACACAUGAUGAAAUGUUUAAUGUUUUGUCUAACUAGAAACAUUUUAAUAAUGUGACUAAACACUGCAGUGGUUUGGGAGGCUCAAAUGUAAGAAUCUAAUAUUAUACAGAAAAUCCAUGUUAGAGGAAUGGAUGGAAAUGUGAUGGAAAGCAGGAUGUGAAUGCUGACUACACUGGGAUCUGCCACAAAGGCAGACUGAGCAUUGCUGCAGGAUACAUUACAAUAUCAACACAAAAACUUGUUCUUAUGAAGAAGUAUAUUUUUCUGAACAUUCAGUUUAAAAAAAAAAAAAGUCACAGAAGGCCUCAGUGUUAAUAAUAGCCUGGAGUUUAAGUAAACACAUAGAACAUUAAGAAUAUUUACAAAACAAAAUCAAAGAUAGAGAUGCACCAUUUGAAAGUGGCCCUGACCUCUGAGUGGCCAGGAAACAAAAUAAACAAUCAGAUGUUUUUUACGGACAGCGUAAAUCCCUGAGAGCUUCCAGGCUGUGGUAACAUCCCUCAGAGACAUUGACUCUGCCUCUAAUGUCAACAGUAAUGGCAAUAAUGAAGAGAAAAACCGCUGAAGAAAAAAAACAAGCAUUUUAUGGCCACUCUUCCUAUAUUACAAUUUCUAAAGAGAAAUCGGAAUUGCUGAAAAUCAGUGCCGGCCGGAAAAGGGUUUACUAAAACAUGUGACCGGAACAACAGUGUGUUAGGACCACUGCAGAUAGAAAUAGAGUAAUAGAGUACAUUUCCACCAAAAUACUCAGGAAUUUUUAGAUCAAUCUCAGAAAUUUUCUAGAAAAAAGGACAAGUUUCAGCUUGAAGAGUAAAAUGUUUGACUUUUGAAACUCAGAGAUUUCCAAAUUAUAUCUAGAAAAUACCUGAGGUUUUUUCUAGCAAAAGUACAACUUUUAAAACUGAGUUUUUUUGUGUGUGCAACAUUUCUGACAUUGUUCUAAAAAUUUCAGACUUUUUUUGGGCAGAAAUGUACUUUUCUUUGCUCUAGCUACAUUGACCCUAAUACACCACUAUAGAUAGCAUAUUAGCCAAAAAAAUCUGAAAAGUACAAAAAUUAUGUAAACUGCAACUGUUUUAAAAACAAGACAG